GCCGGGGUGGUGAAAUUGGCAAACACGCAGCUCUCAAAAAGCUGUGGUCCUAAAAGACCUUGCGGGUUCAACUCCCGCCCCCGGCA
rnacentral:tRNA from 1 species